rnacentral:rRNA from 1 species
UACGAAGGGGGCUAGCGUUGUUCGGAAUUACUGGGCGUAAAGGGCGCGUAGGCGGCUUUUCAAGUCGGGCGUGAAAUCUCCAGGCUUAACCUGGAAGGGUCGUUCGAUACUGUUAAGCUAGAGUGUGGAAGAGGCUACUGGAAUUCCGUGUGUAGCGGUGAAAUGCGUAGAGAUGUGGAGGAACACCAGUGGCGAAGGCGGCUUUCUGGUCUGUAACUGACGCUGAGGCGCGAAAGCGUGGGGAGCAAACAGG